rnacentral:rRNA from 1 species
GACAGAGGUGCCGAGCGUUAGGCGGAAUCACUGGGCUUAAAGCGUGUGUAGGCGGGCGGCCAAGUACCUUGUGAAAUCCCCCGGCUCAACCGGGGAACGGCUGGGUAUACUGGGUGCCUUGGGUCAUCUAGGGGCUGCCGGAACAAAUGGUGGAGCGGUGAAAUGCGUAGAUAUCAUUUGGAACGCCAACGGCGAAAGCAGGCAGCUGGGGAUGCACCGACGCUGAGACACGAAAGCCAGGGGAGCGAACGGG